GGGUCUACCCAUUGGUCAGGCUUAAUUGUCUGCACUGGUGAGAUGGAUCUCUACCUUCUGAAUAACCGGCAUGCUAUUAAGUUAGUGCGUUGGGGAAGCAGAGCUAUUACCUUGAAAAAAUUAGAGUGCUUAAAGCAGGCUUUUGCUUGAAUAGAUUAGCAUGGAAUAAUAAAAUAGGACGGCAUGGUUCUAUUUUGUUGGUUUCUAGGAUCACCGUA
rnacentral:rRNA from 1 species